GUCUCUGGGAGACUUCCAACUGGGAAUCUCCCACUGAGGCCACACCUCUAGAUUAGGUUAGUGGCCCCUGAUUCAUGCUGCUCCAGCAUUCUGCCAUGAGAAACCUCAUUCUGCUGCAGCUUUAUCUUCUAAAUGACGUGCUGAGAACACCCAUGAAACUGCAUUACCGGCUAAUCAGCUCCAGCUUCUUCAGAUAGGCUUCUGCUUGUGACUCCAUGAUCUGUAGCUUAUACACUUCACUCUCCUUCCAGUUUUCAAGUACAGAUACCUGCCAGUAGAUUAGAGGACAUAUGAGUAUUUUACAAAUGACAGCCUGAAACUGUUUUAAAGGUUAAAACUUAAACAUUUAAACCACUUUCCCAUUUCUCCUUAAAUGAAGCAUGAUGACAGAAUCACCAGAACUUGAUCACAGUUGAACAUGAAUUAGACUUUGAGAUUUGAACACAGAACAAAAUGACAUUACAAAUGCAUACCUUCCAUGAUCCUUUUUGCAGAUAUGAAUAACUGUACAUGGCUUUCUGCUUAAGCUAUAUAUAAACACAGAGCCAGGUUAACUGCAUGUGUACACCAGUGUGCAUUACCUAUGGUCCUGCAGCAGAAUAACCCUAAAUAAAGGCUGCAUCCUCUGCAAUUUUAGAAAAGCCUCAGAGAAGCUGUUCUCAGCAAGGACAUCAAAAGCCUUUGGGGUAUGCUUUUAAGAUUUUAGACUCUCUGUGGCUUCCCCACAAGCCAACUGGCCAUUUUUGUGAGAAUCACUGCAGGAAAUGUAGAAUGGCCUUGUGGUCCAAAUGAUUCAUUAAAUAGCCUUUUAAUCCAGGUGUCUGUAAACUUGACAGGGCCCACCAGGCAAACCUGCUUACCAAACGGUGGUGUGAAUUAAACAAGCUCAAGAAUACCGAUGCUGGUGUAGGACCCACAAAGUAUUCAUACUUUCGCUCUUUUUCCUUUCCUGUCCUUAGAAAAAGGUGCAUAGUCAAUUCCUAAUUGAAAAGCCUAAUGUUUGCAGACUGUAUAAACUAAGCCUUUUCUUACUUUACCAGAAUAAUCACAGACACAUAUGCCAAUAAAUAUCAUUUGUUUCUCAGCUAGAGAAACA
rnacentral:antisense_RNA from 1 species